rnacentral:rRNA from 1 species
UACGUAGGGGGCAAGCGUUGUCCGGAUUUACUGGGCGUAAAGAGCGUGUAGGCGGCCACGCAGGUCCGUUGUGAAAACUGGAGGCUCAACCUCCAGCUGUCGACGGAAACCGUAUGGCUAGAGUCCGGAAGAGGAGAGUGGAAUUCCUGGUGUAGCGGUGAAAUGCGCAGAUAUCAGGAAGAACACCAAUGGCGAAGGCAGCCCUCUGGGACGGUACUGACGCUGAGACGCGAAAGCGUGGGGAGCGAACAGG